GGCGAUCAUUGUGUCUUGUUGUGGGUGUUUUCAUGGUCGGACCUUGGGAGUUAUCUCUAUGAGCUGUGACAAUGAUGCAACACGCGGUUUUGGACCAUUGGUUCCUGGGCAUCUGAAAGUGGAUUUUGGCGAUGCUGAUGCACUUGAAAAAAUCUUCAAAGAGCAUGGAGACAAGAUAGCUGGAUUUUUGUUUGAGCCGAUUCAAGGAGAGGCAGG
rnacentral:misc_RNA from 1 species